AGUAAACUUCUCACUUCUUUCCAGUUGCAGAUCUCCUGGCUUCCUUCUUCCUCCCUAGUUCCAUAUAUGUAGUCAUUUGCAUUGAGUGCGCAUGAUGCUAAGAGCUCAUGUCAUCAGCACAACUGUUUAGGGUUGCACUUCAAUCAUUCUGCUCCUUGUCAACAUCAUUUUUUAUCAAAAUCAAAAGUACUAACAGAAAGUGGUUUCCCACACAUACUCUUUCAAGUAAACAAAAGACAACUUAAACUUUCUAUUUAUUCUUUCUUCCUGGAGUUAAGCCUUAAGUUCAAGCAGGUGGCAUUUUUUUAUAUUUGGAGAGAAUCAACCUUUGCAAGCAAUGGUUCCAGACAGGCAGGGAGGGGAUAAGGGCAUUAAAAAGGAAGAGCUGAUUUUCAUCCUUGGCUGUAAUAGUAUAAGGCUAUCAUUUAUUCUCACUGUGUAUCAGUUUUCAGAACUAAAAAUUUCAGUAAGAAGCUGUGGUCAGCUCAUUAAUUCCUUCAGUCAUAACCUCUUUCUUCCUCACUCUUUCUUAUAAAUGAUUUGGGUUAAAAGAGAUAAGGCAGAACCUUUCUGCUUUGCACUUUUAGGACAAGAGAAGGCUUCAACCAGUGUCCAUGGGACCCAUUUGUGGUUGGUUAGUGUGCUCAAGCGUGCCCGUCUCCUGCUGUGAUAAACACACUGGUCAUUUACAUGCAAGCACCAGUCUGGUUCUCAUUUAAAGUCCUUUGAAAAUGUUUCUAAGUUGCAUUUGCUGUAAAACUGAAACGCUCUUCUGUCACUGCCCCUUCUGCCUCUAGCUGGCUGGUAGACUACUGAUUACUUGUCUUUACCCAUGACAUGAACUAUGCCAGCAAUAACAUAAAUACAUAAUACUUAAAUCUUGUUUGCAUUAAGCUAACAGCAAGGUGUUGACAACAUUAAGGAGGGAGAGAAACAGAGAAAGAAAACUUAAAAAAUAAAAUCUCCCAACAGAAUGUAAUUAGCCUGCUGCUCACCUUCUCCUGUAUGGACUGUCAGAAGAAAACUUCUGUGUAAUUAUGGCAUGAUGAAAUAACUCUUUUUUCCUUCUUCCUUGGCAUAAAUGAAGAUCCUAGUAAUACUCAACUGUUGAGUGGAUUUAAAAAAAACUCCAACAAAACCUGGCCUGCAGAUCACUGAAAACUGGCAGAGUAUUCUAAGAAAAUACCACGGGAGCAGUUCCUGGCAUUGAUGUCCACGGUCAUGGGAGGCAGGAUUCAAACCAGGGGCUUUUCUAAUCAGCUUCCCCUGGACUUGAUGUUCUCUAAAUCCAAAGUGCAGGCUAAUUUACCCUUUGGAGUAAUCAAUGGAGUGACUCCUGCUAACUAAGCAAGUGAAGAGCUGGGGCCAGCAGCUGUCUGGGAAUGAGGCAGGAGGAUGCUGUAACCUCUGGUCAGUUGAAUGCAACACCAGAAAAGAUAAAAAGAAAGGAAGCUUCACAUAGCAUGCCCAAAUUCUUGUGGUUGUGAAAUGAUGAUCAGCUCCCAUCCAUACUCUCCAUGUUCCUUCUGCUUCCAAGCUCUUUUUUUCUCAUCCACAGGAUUCUCUAUACAUUUGUGGAAGGAUAGAAAAGAGCCUACAUUCAAAACACCCCAAUUUGAUCAACCUUGGCAAGAAGAAGCAAAAACUUACAAAAACUUACUUGAUUUUCUUUGAAGAACAGAUGGGAACCAUCAGCACAUACAGUAUCCAUGCAUCAUCACCUGCAAUGC